CAUUACAGGUAGACUUCAGUCGAGCUUCUUCAUAGCCAGAUCCCAGACGAGCUUCUACAGUGGGACAGGACCCACUGGCCAGAUCGCUACUCCUAGCUCCCAUGACAACCGACCUUCGAUCGAGCUUCUACAACAAGCAGUCUCCUUUCAGCCCUCUGCAAGAACCAGACCUUGACCGAACUUCCAUAGCGAAUGGAUAUCGGACGAGCUUCUGCGAUGGACGGACUCCGACAGUUGGAUUCUUACAAUGACCGAUCACCUCCGACGUCUGUCGAACCUCUCCAGUGCCAUCCGAAGUCCAUCGUCGGCCGACCUCUCGCC
rnacentral:lncRNA from 1 species